rnacentral:rRNA from 1 species
UACGUAGGGUGCGAGCGUUGUCCGGAAUUAUUGGGCGUAAAGCGCACGUAGGCGGCUUGGCAAGUCGGAUGUGAAAUCCCUCGGCUCAACCAAGGAAGUGCAUCCGAAACUGCUGAGCUUGAGUACUUAAGAGGAUCGCGGAAUUCCCGGUGUAGAGGUGAAAUUCGUAGAUAUCGGGAGGAACACCAGUGGCGAAGGCGGCGAUCUGGGAAGAUACUGACGCUGAGGUGCGAAAGCCAGGGGAGCAAACGGG